ensembl:lncRNA
CUCCCAGUCCAAUUCCAGUCCCUCCCAGUCCUUCUCAAUCCCAUUUCAUUCCAUCCCAGUCUCCUCCCAGUACAUCCAAGUCCCUCCCAGUCCCUUUCCAGUCCCUCCCAAUUCCCUCCCAGUCCAAUUCCAGUCCCUCCCAAUCCAAUUCCAGUCCCUCCCAGUCCUUCUCAAUCCCAUUUCAUUCCAUCCCAGUUCCUCCCAGUCUCCUCCCAGUACAUCCCAGUCCAAUUCAAGCCUUUCCCAGUGCAACCUCAUCCUCUCCCAGUCCCUCCCAGUCCCAUUUCAUUCCCUCCCAGUCCAUCCCAGUCCAAUUCCAGUCCUUCCCAUCCCCUCCCAGUCCAUCCCAGUGCUCCCAGUUGUAACCAGUCUCCCUUUGCAGCACCUCCAUAUCUCUGGAUGAGGAGAAGAGCGCGGCGGCGGUGGCGGCCGUUUGCUCCUACCUGAGGCUGCAGGGGGUGAAGCCCAAGGGGGGCAGUGGAGACGCCAAGAAACCCAAAGGCCACUUCUUCCGGAAGAAGGUAAUUAAGCACCGCCCUCGUUAGCUCGUUAAUUAGUGAAUUACUUAAUUAGUCAGCCGCAGUCCCGUGAAAUAACCCCCAUUUGUUUAUUGGGGGGGGGGUGGAAAAUGAACCCCUUUUGGGGGGUGUAGGGGUGCCCCCGUGCUUUUACUAAUUAAUUAGCGGUGUAAUUAGUGGUUAAUUAGUGAUUAAUAACAGCUUCAUUAGUGAUCUAUACCCCCCCCCCAUACACACGCUUAGUAACCCCAAUUAGCUCUUUUCGGGGGGAAAAUUGAGCCCCUUAAUGAGUCCGUAGCGCCCCCUCCCGCUCUUCCUAAUUAACUAAUUGCGUCAUUAAUGAUUAAUUAGGGAUUAAUAAUCACUUCGUUAACGAGCCGUGGUGUUUCCUGUACCAAAUGACCCCAUUCAGCCUUCCUGAACCCCUCCUUUGGGGUACAGCGGGGCGCCCCGUUGUUCCUAAUUAACGAGCGGUGUAAUUAACGGUUAAUUAGCGCUCAUUAAGCGGUUCGUUAGCGGUUCAUUAACGACUCGCUGCGCUGUUUCCUACAUUUAAUUACCCAACUCAAUGGUUUUCAAGAGGAAAGAACCCAUCUAUUAGGGAAAAGCGCUGCCCUCCGCUCUUACUAAUUAUCUAAGGGCGUAAUUAGUGAUUAAUUAGCAAUUAAUGGGUGGUUUAUUAAUGAGUUCCUGCAUCAAACAAACCCAACUCGCUGAUUCUGGGUGAAGAAUAAACCUCCCUGUUUGCUGGACGGCUGCUGUUGA